UCCACCAAAGCAAGAGAAAAGAAUUUAUCUCUUGCAAAUAUGACUCUUGUCAAUCAAAGCACAAAUUUCAUCGUAGUUUGAUUUUCCCCCUAAAAUAAAGUAGAAAAUAUAUUUCUAAGCUUGCUUCCAUAAUCAUCUUCUCCAUUUAAAUCUAGAAUUUAAAGCGGAUAGUGAAAGAAAGCUUCAAGUAAGAUCCAAGGGGAAUUAAUCCUUUUAUGUGAUACUAAUGAGUGGACGUGGAUUUGAGUUAAAAAGGGCAUGAAAAGGUCUGUAUAUUUUUGUGUUUCCACACCCUCAAACUUAAUUCAUUGUUCGUCCCGAGUAAUGCACAAAUUGAAAAGAAUAUUUUGUAAACACCUUUGAAAAUUUUCUUUAGAAAACAUUCUUCCCAUAAUUAUGAAGUUAGUAUACUUAUGCUCAAGAACAUAAAUUUUGAGAUUUAUGCUGCUUAAGUAUACAUAUCGUUCAAAUUAAUCUCAAUUAUUAUUAUGAUAGAAAAAAUAGACUAAAUGCUUUCUCAAUAAAGAUAUGUUAAAUCCCUACCAAUUUGAUUUUAUCUUAUUUAAGAUUAGCUACAAUCUUUAAGUUUAAUUUAUGCCUUCAUAUGUUAAACAUAGCAAUUUCUCUCCACUAAUGUGGGUAGCACAAAAAUUUGAAUUAGUAGGUCUUUUAAAUAGGUUGUAGCGUGGCUAGGCUAGGGGUAGGUAAAAGAUAGAUGAAUUUAGGCUAAAAACCCUAGACUCAGCUUGCAUCGAACCUUCGGAAUAAUGAACUUUAAUACACCAACUCAUUUUUCUUUUACCUUCUCUUAUGUACAUCUAUUUCUUUCGAGUACAUAUGCUUUUUUUUUGAGAAUUUGAUACUUCUUUUCAACUCCCCCAAACUUAUUUUCAAAGAAUAUUAUGAAUAGACUGAGUCUAGUGUUUGGGAUAAUUUAAAGAUAAUUAUGAGAGAAGUGAUGGCUAAUUAUUGCAAAGGUUCAAAUAAAAUUAGGCUAUAUAGUCUCAAAGUUGGGUUUCAAGGGGUAAAUAUUCAUCAAGGUUGGCUUAAAAGGCUCAAAUAGUCCAAAAAAAGUUUGCCUAAAUUAUUUUCAACAGUCCAUGCUUCCUAGGAUUUUGCCUCAAGAAAUUACUAAGUCAAUUCUAGAGACUUAAACUGUCAUGCAUGCUUAACUUUCCUAAGAAACUAAAAAAUUUAUGGUAUGAUUUUCAUACUUUAUUAAGAGUACAUUUAUGUCAUAAUUAAGCUAACAUAACAAUUAUUGAGAUAAUAGAACUUUAUUCAUACUGAAGUUUAGCAUACUUCACAAAAUUUCAAAUUUUUGAACAAAAUAUAACCUAACCAUAAUUAAAAGAAAAUUUUAUUCUGAGAGGAGAUAAUUUCAAUUUUUUAAUCCCCCUACUUAAGAUGAACAAUGUCCUAUUUGUUAGAAGUGAAUAUACUAUACACUAGGUAGUAUUCUAGAAAAGAUGAGGUGAGUCAAUUUGACUGCUUAAGUACCAAGCUCUCUCUAGACCCAAUCCUAGACAUAUACAUAUCUAUUGCCACACUUCUUAUUUUGUAACUUGUUCAUUUUUAUUUAUGAUUUUCACCUUUUAUUUUAUUAUGCGAGAAAAAAAAUCCUAAUAGGACCUAAUCCUAAAAACAUUAAAUAUCGUAGGAAAGAAACUAAUAUAAAGUAAAGAUCCCCCUUUCUUAUUUAUUUGCAGAUCCCUCAGAAUUUGACUCAUCUUUUACUCCAUCGUCUUUGUUUUUGCAUGAAUCGCUUUGUACCCUCUUCGAUAUUAGACUCCAUGGUUCAAAUAUAAAAUCUAGAAACUCAGGCACAAAAAUAAAUGGGUCAUGAAAUAUUUUCGUAAAAACGAUUGUCAUUGAGUCAUCCCAUAUUUUUGAAUAUCUCCAGUAAGCUUGUUGUUGCCACUGCAUAUGUUGAAUUAUGUCCAUCAACUUUGAUAGCUCAUCACGAAGAUCUAGCUUAGGUGAUUGAGUUUUGAAUGUUGAGGCCGCCAUGUCAGGUUCGGUUAUUGGUUCAAUUUGUUCUGCCUUAUCAAGGAUUUCAACCGACUGCAUUGGUUCGAUCUCUAUGGGAUCUUCUUCUUCUUUUUCGGGAUCCUCGUUCAAUUCAACUUGUUGCUGUAGAACAGAAUCUCCGGCUAUUCGAUAGAGGUCCCAAUAUGUGAUUGUGCCUUGGCUAUAUCCUGUAUUCUUUACGUUUGCAAGAAUUUUAGCUUUCAAGCACAAAUUUGUUAUCGUAAAGGGAAAGUAUGCUGGGCCAAAACGUCUAGCGGCAUAAUUUCGCAUUUCUCUCAGAAUGAUUUUUCUCA